UUCGGUCGCAACAAAACUUAGCUGACCACUUGACGAAGGGGUUAGCUAGAGACUUAGUAAAGAAGUCGGUAAUUGGGAUGGGAUUAAAGUCCAUUUAAAUCUAUUAGCUUUGAUAUACCCAAUUCCCUUCUAAUAUGACGUUAGAAGCAGAAUUCAAUGUGGAAAGAUCAUAGUUAAAGAUUGGAGCAAUUAUAUUUAUCUUCCCAGGGUAUGUGCUCAGACCUGCAAGUGAUGGUUAGGUUGAAG
rnacentral:lncRNA from 1 species